rnacentral:rRNA from 1 species
UUGAUUUCCUUCGGGACUGAUUAUUUUGUGACUGAGUGGCGGACGGGUGAGUAACGCGUGGGUAACCUGCCUUGUACAGGGGGAUAACAGUUGGAAACGGCUGCUAAUACCGCAUAAGCGCACAGCAUCGCAUGAUGCAGUGUGAAAAACUCCGGUGGUAUAAGAUGGACCCGCGUUGGAUUAGCUAGUUGGUGAGGUAACGGCCCACCAAGGCGACGAUCCAUAGCCGACCUGAGAGGGUGACCGGCCACAUUGGGACUGAGACACGGCCCAAACUCCUACGGGAGGCAGCAGUGGGGAAUAUUGCACAAUGGGCGAAAGCCUGAUGCAGCGACGCCGCGUGAGCGAAGAAGUAUUUCGGUAUGUAAAGCUCUAUCAGCAGGGAAGAUAAUGACGGUACCUGACUAAGAAGCACCGGCUAAAUACGUGCCAGCAGCCGCGGUAAUACGUAUGGUGCAAGCGUUAUCCGGAUUUACUGGGUGUAAAGGGAGCGCAGGCGGUGCGGCAAGUCUGAUGUGAAAGCCCGGGGCUCAACCCCGGUACUGCAUUGGAAACUGUCGUACUAGAGUGUCGGAGGGGUAAGCGGAAUUCCUAGUGUAGCGGUGAAAUGCGUAGAUAUUAGGAGGAACACCAGUGGCGAAGGCGGCUUACUGGACGAUAACUGACGCUGAGGCUCGAAAGCGUGGGGAGCAAACAGGAUUAGAUACCCUGGUAGUCCACGCCGUANACGAUGAAUACUAGGUGUUGGGAAGCA